CUAAGCACGUACUAUUUUUUAAUAAAUUUUUUCUGCCCGUCAAAGUCAACUGUAGCCUCUCGGGGGUAUACCAUAUAUACUGGCAACCUCGUCCCCAAGGCAUCUUGUAUCUUUUCUAACAUCGGACCUCGCCGUCCUGAGAUAAAGAAAGAGACAACAGGCUCUGGGAACGAGGUUUAUAUACUGGGUCCUUCUACAAAUCUGUACAAACGUUAAAAAACCGACAUGGUAAACCCAGGGUAUAUGUUAUAAAUAUUUAAUGUAAACAGUUGCUUCAUGUGGUGAGUUUUAAUAUCAUUAUCUUCUUUUUGUGAGUCUUGUAUAUUGUGAGUUGAAAUAUCAAGAAGAAGAAGAAAAAGAAGUUUUUUAUAAACAACACAUUAUGUAGCAGAUGUCACCCUAUGUUUUUUCUCAAUUUGGAAUCACCUCAUACACCGAACGUCGUCGAAGUUAUAAGUUUUUUCGCAAGAUAAAUGGAGAAAAAUAUUAAUACAGAAAGUGAGCCGAAACACCAAGAUGAAACGAAGAACGGACAAGAAGAAAGUAAAACAAAACAACGACAAAUGAAGGAAGCUUUAAAAGAAUUAAAAGAUCCUAAAGGAGAUUUAUGCUGCCUGGUUCGACAAUUUUACUUAGGCCAACAUGAAGUAACACCAGUCAUCGACAACAGCCUAUGCUGAUAAACUUUAAUUGAUAAUUAAUUGUGCGUAUGGCUGGACAAACUUACUAUAAUAUUACAGUAAAAAACAUGAACAGAAGGCAGGAUCCUCCCUGCCACAAAAAUAUAUCUUGUUAUUCACUGUUUCUAGGUAGGCUCUUGUAAAUAUGUAAAUAGUGAAUAUAUAUAUUCAUUUUGCAAAAGUAUAAA